rnacentral:sRNA from 1 species
ACGAAGCCACGCCGGUAUACUGGUACCCA